rnacentral:lncRNA from 1 species
GCAGGAAGAAAGAGCCUGGACCCUAGGAUCCUCCCUGAAACAGCGGGAUGGCCUGGCACAGGGUGGCAGCGGGGAAAGGAUACGUUCCCAUUGAAGGGGCGAUGGAAAACUGGAAUCAGAGACUGAAGGAGGCGGGGCAUGGGACCCCGGAAGAUGCCUCCCAGACGUUCCAGGCCUGCUUGCCCGGCUCCGGAGGUCUUAGCAGCAUCCUCGGAGGUUGCCAAACACCUGGGAAGGGGGUAGGUGGAGCUUGAAAGGACUCUGGGUCUCUCUUUGGGAAUGCAAAGUCCCCUCAACUCUCCUGGCCCUCCCAUCCGCCCCCCACUCGCGCCAGCGUGUGGUAGCCCCGAGCCUAGCACGCUGAGAUGUGGGAAGGUGUGGGUCUGCCCAGUGGGUGGCCCCGACAGAACGAAUCCGAGGUCCUGGGAGGAAUUGGGAGACGUGAAGAGUUGGGUAUCUGCCGCCCCAAGGUGGGGCCAUCCGCUUCGCAGUUUCGGCUCUGCGGGCGGCGCGGCCUCGCGCGGAAUCUAGCCAGCCCCUGAGAGUCCCCGCCCCCUCCCCGAGGCCCAAGGUAU